AGGAGGAACAGCCCCAGUGGCGAGGCAGCUCUGGAAACCUGGAUUCAGCUCCGGCAGGAACUCCGUCUGCAGGGCCUGGAGGCUCCGGGGCGGG
rfam:Canis lupus familiaris chromosome 9, whole genome shotgun sequence.